UCCCCAGUGGGCGCAAUUGGUUAGCGCCCGGUAUUUAAACGACAGUAUCUGCGAGUAAUGCCGAGGCUUUGUGUUCGAACCUCACUUGGGGAA